AAUCUUAUCGAAGGUCCCUUGCAUGA
rnacentral:piRNA from 1 species